UACGGAGGAUGCAAGCGUUAUCCGGAUUCAUUGGGUUUAAAGGGUGCGUAGGCAGGCUAUUAAGUCAGUGGUGAAAUCCUGCAGCUUAACUGCAGAACUGCCGUUGAUACUGAUAGUCUUGAGUUUGGUUAAGGUAGGCGGAAUGUGUAAUGUAGCGGUGAAAUGCUUAGAUAUUACACAGAACACCGAUUGCGAAGGCAGCUUGCUGGGUCAUUACUGACGCUGAUGCACGAAAGCGUGGGGAUCAAACA
rnacentral:rRNA from 1 species